rnacentral:miRNA from 1 species
UUUAGGCUGAGGGCACAC